GAUAGGAAAGAGGAGGAGGAAUUCAAUCAAGCCUUUCCAGCUAGAUCUCUGUUUCAGGACCUGGAUUCUGCUGCUGGGCCAGCAUCUGUCUGAGCUAAACAUGACUCAGAAGAGACCAUGAAUUCUGAAUUGAAGAUUUAUGGAAGCAAACCCUCAAUGUAGGGAUGUGGAUAAAGAAAGAAGAAGCAAGAGAAGAAUGGCAGACAGAAAGUACACAGAAGAAAAACUCCACAAACUUGGCACUUUUCGUCCUGUUGCAGUAUUUGAUUCCAUCUGCAACUAUGUGCUAAUAAACCAGGUUGUCACAAAGCCCCAACCUUGAUGGGUGAAGAAACACCAAUCUUUAGCCCUGUCUGGGCCCUGUGGUAGAUGUAGAUUUGUUUACUGUUAGCAGGGGAUUCAUGUCUUCCCUACCAGAAUUCUUGGCCUAAAGAUGUAAAUAAGUUGUAAGUACACUAAGUUGCUCCUGACUUUGGUGCCAUCAUAACAAAUCAUUUUUCUCAUUUUCAUAAAUGAAUAAUUACUCUGGCUCUCUGAGCAAAGCAAAUCUGAACACUUUUAUUAACAAAUGAGUAUGUAGAAAUACUUUCUUGAAACCACAUACCAGAAAGAAAACAACCAAAGCUGAAAGAUUUUCACUAGAUUACAGGCAGGGCUUGGGGAACCCCAUGGGCCUUAACAACAAGUGAUCAGAUGGUCUUAUUUUCUGGCACCUGAUAAGCAUAUGUAUAGGUAGCAGAAAGAAAAACAAACUGAAUUUGCACCUCCCCUGUAUGGAGCUGGGGAUGGCUUCCUCCUGCUGUGAGUAGAGGGUGAAGGCUCUGCAUGGGACUCCCCCUCUACCCCACACAUAGGCAUUGAAGAAGAAGGAAACAGCAAUUGCCCACUCAGGCAGGUCUAGCUGCAGGCUAACUAAAUCUGCAUAUGUGUAUCACCUGCCUUCGUCACUUCCCUGCCUCUUUUCCUAUCAAUUUUCAGAGGUUUCAAAGCUGGAACUUUUGGAACAAUGAAGAAUCUUCCAUCUUCCUUCAAAGGUGGCUUUGAAUAAAACCUAUUUUCCUACCAA